rnacentral:rRNA from 1 species
GAUGAACGCUAGCGGCAGGCCUAAUACAUGCAAGUCGAGGGGUAGUGGUUGCUUGCAGCCAUGAGACCGGCGCACGGGUGCGUAACGCGUAUGCAACCUACCUUCAUCUGGGGGAUAGCCCGGAGAAAUCCGGAUUAAUACCGCAUAAAAUCACAGUACGGCAUCGUACAAUGAUCAAACAUUUAUGGGAUGGAGAUGGGCAUGCGUGUCAUUAGUUAGUUGGCGGGGUAACGGCCCACCAAGACCGCGAUGACUAGGGGAUCUGAGAGGAUGACCACCCACACUGGUACUGAGACACGGACCAGACUCCUACGGGAGGCAGAAGUAAGGAAUAUUGGUCAAUGGGCGCAAGCCUGAACCAGCCAUGCCGCGUGCAGGAAGACGGCCCUCUGGGUUGUAAACUGCUUUUAUUCGGGAAUAAACCUGCUUACGUGUAAGUAGCUGAAUGUACCGAAGGAAUAAGGAUCGGCUAACUCCGUGCCAGCAGCCGCCGUAAAAC